rnacentral:rRNA from 1 species
UACGGAGGGAGCUAGCGUUGUUCGGAAUUACUGGGCGUAAAGCGCACGUAGGCGGAUGUGUCAGUCAGGGUGAAAUCCUGGAGCUCAACUCCAGAACUGCCUUUGAUACUGGCGAUCUUUGAGUUCGGGAGAGGUGAGUGGAACUGCGAGUGUAGAGGUGAAAUUCGUAGAUAUUCGCAAGAACACCAGUGGCGAAGGCAGCUCGCUGGAGGUACUGACGCUGAGGCGCGAAAGCGUGGGGAGCAAACAGG